rnacentral:tRNA from 1 species
GCCGGGAUGCUGGAACUGGUAGACAGGAUGGUCUCAAAAACCAUUGGCCGCAAGGCCGUGCGGGUUCGAUUCCCACUCCCGGUA